CACCAAGGUGACCUGAAGAGUGACAAGGUUAACUGCAGGGAAGAAAGGAAGAAAGAAAAAAAAACUUGAGAAAGGAAAAAAAACCGAAAACAAACCAGAAGCAAGAAAGCCUUGCCUUGUGAUCUGUGCUCCCUGAACACAGUAUAUGAUGCUGAAUUGCAUUUUAAAAUCUUUUUGACAUAAAGUUGGAGACAAAACACUAUCUUGGCUACAGAUAAAGACGAGUGGAAGGAAGCGCCAAGAAUGAUGUGAAAGUCUGCUUGGAAACCCCCCUGCGUAGAAUGGCAUCUCGAGAAGAACAAGAAGUGCCUGGUUUGCGUCAGGAGGAACACACCGUGCUGCUUCCACUCCCACCGCUCUCCUCAGCCUCCCACAGCCCCAGCUACCGAGUCAUUAACAGGAAAGUCAUUAAC